rnacentral:rRNA from 1 species
GGAUUAGAUACCCUGUUAUUAAGCCGACCCAGGUUUAGUAGUAGGUGUUAUUCAUGAAACUAAAAGAUAUUGGCGGCACUUUAAAACCUCUUAGAGGAAUCUAUUCUGUAAAGGAUCUGACACCAAAAUCUUACCUUCCCUAGUUUAACAGUUUGUAUACCCCUAUGCACAAUCACAUUGUUAGUGUGGUUAAAAUUCUAAUUAGAAGUUUUUUAGGCCAAGGUGCAGCUAAUGGGAAGGGUUGAAAUAGAUUAUAAUUAACUAGCGUUUAACAAGUCUUUGGUUGUAACGUCGGGGGCUAGACAGAUUUAAAAGUAAAGCUUUCAAAGAGAGUUAGCUUGAAUGUGGGAAUUGGGUGUGUACAUAUUGCCCGUCACUCUCUUCUCGGAGAUAAGUCGAAACAUAGUAA